UUUUCACAUAAAUUCCCAAAUGCUGAUCCAUUAGCACUUCGUUUACUUGAAAGAUUGCUUGCCUUUGACCCAGUUGACCGGAUAUCUGCUGAAGAGAUAAGCUUUAGUAAAACUUUAUACCAUUUUAUUUUAUCUAUAUUUGUGUUGUAAAUCCACUUAAAAUAUUAUAUUUGGUUACUGAUAUUUUAAUUUUCUUUUUAAAAUUUGCAGGCUUUAGCAGAUCCGUAUUUUUAUGGUUUAGCUAAUUUGGAAACUGAACCAUCAAAACAACCGAUUUCAAAACUUGAGUUUGAUUUUGAAAGGAGGAGAUUAACAAAGAAUGAUGUUAGAGAGCUG
rnacentral:lncRNA from 1 species